CCCUUAGAUGUCCUGGGCCGCACGCGCGCUACACUGAACGGAUCAGCGCGUUUUCCCUUCCCGAGAGGGACGGGUAACCUGCUGAACCCCGUUCGUGGUAGGGAUCGGGGCUUGCAAUUAUUCCCCGUGAACCAGGAAUGCCCAGUAAGUGCAAGUCAUAAGCUUGCGUUGAUUACGUCCCUGCCCUUUGUACACACCGCCCGUCGCUACUACCGAUUGAACGUUUUAGUGAGGUACUCGGACUGAGCCUCAGAAGAUUCACGUCUUUUGUGCUGCUCAGGAAGAUUCCCAAACUUGAGCGUUUAGAGGAAGUAAAAGUCGUAACA
rnacentral:rRNA from 1 species